GCUGUCUGUGCGCUGUGAGAUUUGCAUGCAGUCUCUCAUCCCUCAGGACUCGUCACUGCAGCGUCGGACACUGUGCACUGAGGAGAUCGCGAGCAUGAGUUUUCUAGGCAGAUUUAAGAAACCCCCUCCCUUCCUCCUUGCUCCUCCCCUGACUGCUGUGAGCGCAUUGUGAUGUCAUAGAAUUUCAACCUGGGUUAACCCAGGUUGGGGCAGCAGUGUGGAGUAGUGGUUAGGGCUCGGGACUCUUGACCAGAGGGUCGUGGGUUCAAUCCCAGGUGGGGGGGGACACUGCUGCUGUACCCUUGAGCAAGGUACUUUACCUAGAUUGCUCCAGUAAAAAUCCAACUGUAUAAAUGGGUAAUUGUAUGUGAAAUAAUGUAUAAUGUGAUAUCUUGUAACAAUUGUAAGU